CCUACGGGGGGCAGCAGUGGGGAAUGUUGGACAAUGGGCGCAAGCCUGAUCCAGCUAUUCCGCGUGUGGGAUGACGGCCUUCGGGUUGUAAACCACUUUUGGAGAGAACGAAAAGUCUGUUGAUAAUACCGAUAGAUGAUGACGGUACUCUAAGAAGAAGCACCGGCUAACUCCGUGCCAGCAGCCGCGGUAAUACGUAGGGUGCGAGCGUUAAUCGGAAUUACUGGGCGGAAAGGGUGUGAAGGCGGUUUUGCAAGAUGGAUGUGAAAGCCCCGGGCUUAACCUGGGAAAGCCAUACCUGUCUGCAAGACUAGAGUGCGUCAGAGGGGGGUGGAAUUCCAAGUGUAGCCG
rnacentral:rRNA from 1 species